GCGCCUGUAGUCCAGUGGUUAAGGCAUCGGCGUCGCGAAGCGGCGCAUUGCGGUUGUGACGUCGCGUUCACAUCGCGAAGAUCGGCAGUUCGAAUCUGCCCAGGCGCA
rnacentral:tRNA from 1 species